AUAUAAACUACUUGAUUAUGAAACUUCAAAGGUGAAAAAUUACUAUCUUGCAAUGAAUGAGUCAUUCCAAAUGAGUCCUUUCCUACAAGCUUUAAUUUGCCUUCUCUUUCCAUAGUCAAAUUUGAUUGCAACAUUCCAAUUUUCUUCUUUAUUCUACACAAGCCACAAAAUAAUGUGAUUUUACCAAUUGCUCUUUGAUACCUUACCGAAGUGAUUACUUGUAUGCAAAAUAUCAAAGAUAUUUCCAAUACAAAAUAAAAACAAAAAGUGCUGGAAGCAUUUUGGAGAUUAGACAACACCUGCAGAGAAAGUGGAACAACCAACUCGUUGAGAUAGCUCCAGGUGGAACCACAAGUAUGUUAGCAAUGAACAAGAGUAGAGUCCGGGAAAAGUGGUGCAAGUAAUUUACGGAAGAGAAAGGAAAAAGACCUACUCCUGGGCAUGCAUAAUUCAACAGGGUUUCAACAAUUUCUUUUACUAUGACUGUUGUGGAAGAUGGACAGGAUCCCCAAGAAAACCUUGGGGAACCAAAUGAAAACUUCCUGGACAUCUUGUGGAGCACCAUAUAUGACAGGUCGCCAUGCUGGAUGAAAAGAGAAAUUCCAAGUUUGUUUACAAUCCAUUGAGUAAUUCAUUGUCAAUAUCUCGCAGCCAAAAACCUUAGCCAGCAACUUUUUUUCAAGCAUGACUCUUGUAAUAUCUUCUAUCAACAAAAUUGAAGCUCAUCCAUUAAAUAGCAGAGUAUUUUGCCAGUUAUGACAAGAUAACGAUGAAGAUUUUGAAUGCUUGCUUCUUCACACUGGAGGUCAUUGGCUGUCAAAAGACUGCUGCUUAAACGUUCCUUUGAUCUUUUUGACACUGUGGUUGAAUUAUUGCUCAAAAUCAACAAGAACUUGGGAAAAAUGAGUGAAUUUCUACAUGGAGAUGUGGCAUA